rnacentral:SRP_RNA from 1 species
UAUUGGUGCUCUCGCAACACAAAAUCACAAACCCCGCCAGGCCCGGAAGGGAGCAACGGUAGUGAUCUAUGUGUGUGCCGAGAUGUUGCUGAUAGGG